AGUUCUCAGUGUUCUGGGAAUGUUAUUCAUCGAUGCGUUUUGGCAGCAAAAUAGGCUUCUGGUUUAAGAACCCCCUGAUCCUGCUGCUGCUGGGCUCUGCCCUGGUGAGUGUCCUCACCAAGGAGUAUGAGGACGCCGUCAGCAUCGCCACGGCAGUGCUCAUCGUGGUCACUGUGGCCUUCAUCCAGGAGUACAGGUCGGAGAAAUCUCUGGAAGAGCUGACCAAGCUGGUUCCUCCAGAAUGUAACUGCCUAAGAGAAGGAAAACUCCAGCACCUGCUUGCUCGAGAACUGGUUCCUGGUGAUGUCGUAUCUCUCUCGAUCGGAGACCGGAUCCCUGCAGACAUCCGACUCACUGAGGUCACGGACCUCUUGGUGGAUGAAUCCAGCUUCACCGGGGAAGCCGAGCCAUGUAGUAAAACAGACAGCCCCUUGACAGGCGGUGGGGACCUCACCACCCUCAGCAACAUCGUCUUCAUGGGGACCCUGGUGCAGUAUGGGAGGG
rnacentral:sRNA from 1 species